GGGUUGUGAGGUUAAGCGACUAAGCGUACACGGUGGAUGCCCUGGCAGUCAGAGGCGAUGAAGGACGUGCUAAUCUGCGAUAAGCGCCGGUAAGGUGAUAUGAACCGUUAUAACCGGCGAUUUCCGAAUGGGGAAACCCAGUGUGAUUCGUCACACUAUCAUUAACUGAAUCCAUAGGUUAAUGAGGCGAACCGGGGGAACUGAAACAUCUAAGUACCCCGAGGAAAAGAAAUCAACCGAGAUUCCCCCAGUAGCGGCGAGCGAACGGGGAGGAGCCCAGAGCCUGAAUCAGCAUGUGUGUUAGUGGAAGCGUCUGGAAAGGCGCGCGAUACAGGGUGACAGCCCCGUACACAAAAGCGCAUGUGCUGUGAGCUCGAUGAGUAGGGCGGGACACGUGGUAUCCUGUCUGAAUAUGGGGGGACCAUCCUCCAAGGCUAAAUACUCCUGACUGACCGAUAGUGAACCAGUACCGUGAGGGAAAGGCGAAAAGAACCCCGGCGAGGGGAGUGAAAAAGAACCUGAAACCGUGUACGUACAAGCAGUGGGAGCACAGGUUUACCUGUGUGACUGCGUACCUUUUGUAUAAUGGGUCAGCGACUUAUAUUCUGUAGCAAGGUUAACCGAAUAGGGGAGCCGGAGGGAAACCGAGUCUUAAUUGGGCGUUAAGUUGCAGGGUAUAGACCCGAAACCCGGUGAUCUAGCCAUGGGCAGGUUGAAGGUUGGGUAACACUAACUGGAGGACCGAACCGACUAAUGUUGAAAAAUUAGCGGAUGACCUGUGGCUGGGGGUGAAAGGCCAAUCAAACCGGGAGAUAGCUGGUUCUCCCCGAAAGCUAUUUAGGUAGCGCCUCGUGAAUUCAUCUCCGGGGGUAGAGCACUGUUUCGGCUAGGGGGCCAUCCCGGCUUACCAACCCGAUGCAAACUGCGAAUACCGGAGAAUGUUAUCACGGGAGACACACGGCGGGUGCUAACGUCCGUCGUGAAGAGGGAAACAACCCAGACCGCCAGCUAAGGUCCCAAAGUCAUGGUUAAGUGGGAAACGAUGUGGGAAGGCCCAGACAGCCAGGAUGUUGGCUUAGAAGCAGCCAUCAUUUAAAGAAAGCGUAAUAGCUCACUGGUCGAGUCGGCCUGCGCGGAAGAUGUAACGGGGCUAAACCAUGCACCGAUUCUUAGCGGCAGCAA
rnacentral:rRNA from 1 species